rnacentral:rRNA from 1 species
UACGGAGGAUGCGAGCGUUAUCCGGAUUUAUUGGGUUUAAAGGGUGCGUAGGCGGACGCUUAAGUCAGCGGUAAAAUUGCGGGGCUCAACCUCGUCGAGCCGUUGAAACUGGGUGUCUCGAGUGGGCGAGAAGUACGCGGAAUGCGUGGUGUAGCGGUGAAAUGCAUAGAUAUCACGCAGAACUCCGAUUGCGAAGGCAGCGUACCGGCGCCCAACUGACGCUGAAGCACGAAGGCGUGGGUAUCGAACAGG